rnacentral:rRNA from 1 species
GACGAACGCUGGCGGCGUGCUUAGCACAUGCAAGUCGAACGAAGUGGCGAACGGGUGAGUAACGCGUAAUCAACCUGCCCUUCAGAGGGGGACAACAGUUGGAAACGAAUGCUAACACCCCAUACUGAAGACGGGGAAGGCGUCUGAUCUGCUAGUUGGCGGGGUAACGGCCCAACAAGGCGAUGAUCAGUAGGCGGUCGGAGAGGAUGAACGGCCACAUUGGGACUGAGACACGGCCCAGAAUCCUACGGGAGGCAGCAGUGGGGAAUCGUCCGCAAUGGACGAAAGUCUGACGGAGCAACGCCGGGUGAGUGAUGAAGGCUUUCGGGUUGUAAAGCUCUGUUAGUCGGGACGCGGUACCGGAAUAGAAAGCCACGGCUAACUCCGUGCCAGCAGCCGCGGUAAUUC